CAUNCGAGAUAGCCANGCANGUCUAGUACAUGCCGUAUUAAGGCGAAACCGCGAAUGGCUCAUUAAAUCAGUUAUGGUUCCUUGGAUCGUACUUUACUACUUGGAUAACUGUGGCAAUUCUAGAGCUAAUACAUGCAGCAGAGCUCCGACCUUCGGGGACGAGCGCUUUUAUUAGACCAAAACCAAUCGGACCUCGUGUCCGUCUCUUGUGGUGACUCUGUAUAACUUUGGGCUGAUCGCACGGGCCCGUCCCGGCGACGUAUCUUUCAAGUGUCUGCCUUAUCAACUUUCGAUGGUAGGUUACGCGCCUACCAUGGUCAUAACGGGUAACGGGGAAUCAGGGUUCGAUUCCGGAGAGGGAGCCUGAGAAACGGCUACCACAUCCAAGGAAGGCAGCAGGCGCGCAAAUUACCCACUCCCAGAACGGGGAGGUAGUGACGAAAAAUAACAAUACGGGACUCUUUUGAGACCCCGUAAUUGGAAUGAGUACACUCUAAAUCCUUUAACGAGGAUCCAUUCGAGGGCAAGUCUGGUGCCAGCCGCCGCGGUAAUUCCAGCUCGAAUAGCGUAUAUUAAAGUUGUUGCGGUUAAAAAGCUCGUAGUUGGAUCUCAGUUCCAGACGGGUGGUCCGCCAAACGGUGGUUACUGCCCGUUCUGAACAGCCAGCCGGUUUCUCUUGAUGAUCUUCACCGGUUGUCUCGGGUGACCGGCAAGUUUACUUUGAAAAAAUUAGAGUGCUCAAAGCAGGCGCGACGCCUGAAUAAUGGUGCAUGGAAUAAUGGAAUAGGACCUCGGUUCUAUUUUGUUGGUUUUCGGAACACGAGGUAAUGAUUAAGAGGGACAGACGGGGGCAUUCGUAUUGCGACGCUAGAGGUGAAAUUCUUGGACCGUCGCAAGACGAACUAUGCAGANUUUUUUUUNNGAGAAAAANA
rnacentral:rRNA from 1 species